AUGGAGCUGCUGAUGCAAAAGGUUUUUGUACGGCGCCUCAAUGAGUUUGUAUCACUGUGGUGGACUUUUGGUGGAGGAACCAGACUAGAGGUUGGAAGUAAUACCCGCCCCUCCCUGACAGUGCUGCCCCCUUCCAGUGUGGAGCUGCAGCAGCAGCAGGUUACCCUCCUGUGUCUGGCCAACAAGGGCUUCCCCUCAGACUGGACUCUGUCCUGGAAGCUGGACGGCAGCACAACCAGCUUCACCUGGGAGGAGACCAAGAGCUCUGGGAUGGUGCAGAAUGACGGGCUCUACAGCUGGAGCAGCACCCUGAGGAUCCCUGCAGCCCAGUGGAGGAAGGUGGGCUCUGUGACCUGCAAGGCUUCCCAGGGCUCCCAGUCUGCAGUCACAGAGACACUGAGGAAAAACCAUUGUCCUGAGCUGAUUCACUAGAAGAUCACUAGUUUUCUCUACUACUGCUUUCUGUGUUGUUUAAUUAUUUCUCUCUUCUUUAUUUCUUAUUUCUUCUCUUGUUCUUCUACAAAU